rnacentral:rRNA from 1 species
UACGGAGGAUGCAAGCGUUAUCCGGAAUUAUUGGGCGUAAAGCGUCCGUAGGUGGCAGUUCAAGUCUGUUGUCAAAGCGUGCGGCUCAACCGCAUACGGGCAAUGGAAACUGGGUUGCUAGAGUGCGAUAGGGGUCACAGGAAUUCCCAGUGUAGCGGUGAAAUGCGUAGAUAUUGGGAAGAACACCAGCGGCGAAAGCGUGUGACUGGGUCUGCACUGACACUGAGGGACGAAAGCUAGGGGAGCGAAAGGG